rnacentral:rRNA from 1 species
UCUCAAGCUACUAAGGGCGCACGGUGGAUGCCCUGGCGCCAGGGGCCGAGGAAGGACGCUGUCGGCGGCGAUAGGGCCGGGGAGGUGCCUAGCAACCUUCGAUCCGGCCGUCUCCGAAUGGGGAAACCCGGCGCGGGUCAUGCCGCGUCAUCCCGCACUGAAUUCAUAGGUGCGGGAAGGCCAGUCGGGGAACUGAAACAUCUCAGUACCCGGAGGAAGAGAAAUCAACAGCGGCACCCGCGAAGUCCGUCCGGACUUCGCGGGUGCCCGGAGAUUCCCGGAGUAGUGGCGAGCGAAACGGGAAGAGCCCAAACCCGCGGUGCGUGAUAGCCCGCAGGCGUUGCACCGCGGGGGUUGCAGGGCGUCGUCGGGCCGGACUGCGGUCCGGCCGGGAAGUGAGCAAUCCCUGCUCUAGCCGAAAUGUCCUGGAACGGCAUGCCGGAGACGGUGAGAGCCCGGUAGGCGAAAGGGCAGGGACUUCCUGGGCGACGUGCCUGAGUACCACGGGACACGUGGAACCCCGUGGGAAGCUGGGGGGACCACUCUCCAAGGCUAAAUACCCCUGGCGACCGAUAGCGCACGAGUACCGUGAGGGAAAGGUGAAAAGAACCCCGGGAGGGGAGUGAAACAGAACCUGAAACCGUGUGCCUACAGACAGUCGGAGGGCUAUGCCGGUCCCUUCGGGGAUCGGAAUGCCUGACGGCGUGCCUAUUGAAGAAUGAGCCGGUGAGUUGCACUGCGUGGCGAGCUUAAGGGAGAGAAUCCCGGAGGCGGAGGGAAACCGAGUCUGAACAGGGCGCCGCUCCCGGAGGGGAGGGCGCACCAUCCGGUGUGCCAGUCGCGCGGUGCAGACCCGAAACCGGGUGAGCUACCCAUGGCCAGGGUGAAGCGCGGUUAGUCCCGCGUGGAGGCCCGAACCCACUGGUGUUGCAAUACCAGGGGAUGAGCUGUGGGUAGGGGUGAAAUGCCAAUCGAACCCGGAGAUAGCUGGUUCUCCCCGAAAUGCAUUGAGGUGCAGCCCCGGCGGAGCCGCCCGGAGGUAGAGCACUGGAUGGGCUAGGGCGGGAGGACCCGUACCGACCCCAACCAAACUCCGAAUGCCGGGUGGGUGCUCGUCGGGAGUGAGACGGUGGGGGAUAAGCUCCAUCGUCGAGAGGGAAACAACCCAGACCGCCAGCUAAGGUCCCGGAAUGAUGGCUAAGUGGGAAAGGAAGUGGCACCGCUAAGACAGCCAGGAGGUUGGCUCAGAAGCAGCCAUCCUUGAAAGAGUGCGUAAUAGCUCACUGGUCGAGCGAUGCUGCGCCGAAGAUUCAACGGGGCUCAAGCCAUCUACCGAAGCUGCGGGUCCGGUGGCCUCGGUCGCCGGACGGUAGGGGAGCGUUCCGCGGUAGGUUGAAGGCAGACCGGGAGGACUGCUGGACGACGCGGAAGUGCGAAUGCCGGCAUGAGUAGCGAAAAGGCAGGUGGGAAUCCUGCCCGCCGUAAGGCCAAGGCUUCUUACGGAAGGCUCGUCCGCGUAAGGUUAGGCGGGACCUAAGGCGAGGCCGACAGGCGUAGCCGAUGGACAGCCGGUCGACAUUCCGGCCCCGCUCGGCAUCCGCAACGAGCCGCGGGGGGACGCAGGAGGGUAAGCCUACCGGGUGGUGGACGUCCCGGGCUAAGCGGGUAGGCGGAGGCUCUAGGCAAAUCCGGAGCCUCAUCCAACGCCGAGACGUGAAUGCGAGCUCAAGGGCAACCGCGAGCGAAGUGGCCGAGCCCACGCUGCCGAGAAAAGCCUCGUGGCCAGGAUGUCGGGCGCCCGUACCGCAAACCGACACAGGUGGCCGGGCACUGAACGUGCCAAGGCGCGCGAGAGAACCCUCGUCAAGGAACUCGGCAAAAUGACCCCGUAACUUCGGGACAAGGGGUGCCUCGGUAGGGUGACCGCGCACAGCGGGAGCCCGAAGAGGUCGCAGAGAAUAGGCUCAGCCGACUGUUUAACAAAAACACAGGUCUCUGCGAAGCCGCAAGGCGACGUAUAGGGGCUGACGCCUGCCCAGUGCCGGAAGGUAAAGGAGCGGGGUUAGUCCGGGGUUCGCCCCGGGCGACGCCCCAAACCGAAGCCCCGGUGAACGGCGGCCGUAACUAUAACUCUGGACCGUUGUAGUUACGUUAUCAAAAUCCGGCUGUAUGCUGGGAACCCUGGUGAGUCCGGCCGUACUCGUCGACCACCCCGGUCGGCAGUGACAACCGCGCCGGUACAGGCAAUCAGCAGGAAAGGCGGUCGACCCCCGGCCGCUUCCUCAGAGACCAUACGCCGGACGCGAUGGGCCCUCAGCCGGUCGCGAUGAGAUGGUCCGGACUGCAUGGUGACAUGCAGAGUGGGUACUCAAUCCCACCCCUCGAAGGAGGCGCAACAGGACAAACGGUCCUAAGGUUCAGACGCGAGCCUCGCCGGUGGGCAACCACCGGUUGUCAUCCGGCUAUAUGCUGGGAAGUCUGGAGAAUCCCACGCUACCCUGUGAAGGUUGGCGUUCGCGCCGAUUGAUAGUGGAGGGUGAAAACGCGAUGGGUGCAGAUAACCAGCAGGAAAGACGGUGGCUUGAGCCUCUGCUGGCUGAGACAAUGGCCCCGAGCGCUGAAGCGAUCCGGUCAUACCUGGCUGGAUUUGCUGAUGGCGAGGGGAGUUUCAAUGUCUCGUUCAGGCCGCGUAGUGACUACCGCAGUUCCUUUCGAUCAGACAUGCGAUGAACGAUGGAGGUAAGCGACGCUACGCGGAGGAGGAAAUCCUUCAGAGGUUCAAGACGUCCGGCUCCUCAGAGACUGUACGCCGGACCCUCGACAAGAGGUGAAGAUACAGUCCGAGCUCUCAGGCGACUGAGAGAGGCCGGCAGAGAUGUCGGCCCGCCUGACCAACGGUCGGGUCAGUAGGUCAGCAGACCGAAGUAACAGACCUGAGCGAAAUUCCUUGUCGGGUAAGUUCCGACCUGCACGAAUGGCGUAACGAGCUGAGCGCUGUCUCGACGAGGGACUCGGCGAAGUUGUGAAGCCCGUGAAGACACGGGCCACCCGCGGCUGGACGGAAAGACCCCGUGGAGCUUUACUGCAGCUUGUCAUUGGAUGUGGUCUUACCGUGUAGAGGAUAGGUGGGAGGCGGAGAAGCCGGGGCGCCAGCCUCGGUGGAGCCACCCUUGGAAUACCACCCUCGGCAAGGUUACGUCCUAACCUGGGCCCUCAGCGGGUCUGGGGACAGUGGCAGGUGGGCAGUUUGACUGGGGCGGUCGCCUCCUAAACGGUAACGGAGGCGCCCAAAGGUCCCCUCAGCACGGUUGGAAACCGUGCGGCGAGUGCAAGGGCAUAAGGGGGCUUGACUGUGAGGCCGACAAGCCGAGCAGAGGCGAAAGCCGGGCCUAGUGAUCCUACGGCGGCAAGUGGAAGCGCCGUGGCUUAACGGAUAAAAGCUACCCCGGGGAUAACAGGCUAAUAGGGCCCAAGAGUCCACAUCGACGGCCCUGUUUGGCACCUCGAUGUCGGCUCAUCUCAUCCUGGGGCUGUAGUAGGUCCCAAGGGUUGGGCUGUUCGCCCAUUAAAGAGGUACGUGAGCUGGGUUCAGAACGUCGUGAGACAGUUCGGUCCCUAUCCACCGCGGGCGCAGGAGACUUGAGGGGAGCUGCUCCUAGUACGAGAGGACCGGAGUGGACGGACCUCUGGUGUACCGGUUGUCCUGCCAAGGGCACGUGCCGGGUAGCCAUGUCCGGACGGGAUAAGCGCUGAAAGCAUCUAAGCGCGAAGCCCACCCCAAGACGAGGUCUCCCACCGGGUCAACCGGGUAAGUCCCCUGGGAAAUGACCAGGUUGAUAGGCCGGAGGUGUAAGCGCUGAGAGGCGUUGAGCCUACCGGUACUAAUCGGACGAGGGCUUGAGCCC